UACGGAGGGUGCAAGCGUUAUCCGGAUUCACUGGGUUUAAAGGGUGCGUAGGCGGCUUUUUAAGUCAGUGGUGAAAGCUCCAUGCUUAACAUGGAAAUUGCCAUUGAUACUGAAGAGCUUGAGUACAUUUGAAGUGGGCGGAAUAUGUCAUGUAGAGGUGAAAUUCUUAGAGAUGACAUAGAACACCGAUUGCGAAGGCAGCUCACUAAACUGUAACUGACACUGAGGCACGAAAGCGUGUGUAUCAAACAGG
rnacentral:rRNA from 1 species